GAUGAACGCUGGCGGCGUGCUUAACACAUGCAAGUCGAACGAUGAAGCCCAGCUUGCUGGGUGUAUUAGUGUCGAACGGGUGUGUAACACGUGAGUAACCUGCCCUUAACUCUGGGAUAAGCCUGGGAAACUGGGUCUAAUACCGGAUAUGAGCGUCCACCGCAUGUUGUGUGUUGUAAAGAUUUAUCGGUUUUGGAUGGACUCGCGGCCUAUCAGCUUGUUGGUGAGGUAAUGGCUCACCAAGGCGACGACGGGUAGCCGGCCUGAGAGGGUGACCGGCCACACUGGGACUGAGACACGGCCCAGACUCCUACGGGAGGCAGCAGUGGGGAAUAUUGCACAAUGGGCGGAAGCCUGAUGCAGCGACGCCGCGUGAGGGAUGACGGCCUUCGGGUUGUAAACCUCUUUCAGUAGGGAAGAAGCGAAAGUGACGGUACCUGCAGAAGAAGCACCGGCUAACUACGUG
rnacentral:rRNA from 1 species